UAUGCCCACCUGUCCAAACCCAAAGAAUGGACUUAGAGGCAUGAAGAACAGUGAAGGUGAGACUUUUAAUAACGUUCUGGCAAGAUCAGUUGUCUGGAAGACAUGCACACCUGGGCAAUUACAACAGCAGCAAGGAGAGCUCAAGCAAAGUGGACAUGAUCAGAGUCCACAGUUACCAUGAUCCUGAGACAAGCUCAUAAAAGCAAGCUGCAUGAGCAGGAACCCAAGAAGUGACAGGCACCAGCCACCACUAUUGCUGCCAUCACCACAGGGAAU
rnacentral:sRNA from 1 species